CAGGACGAACGCUGGCGGCGUGCCUAACACAUGCAAGUCGAGCGAGGAGAUCCUUCGGGAUGAUCCUAGCGGCGGACGGGUGAGUAACACGUGGGCAACCUGCCUCAUAGAGAGGAAUAGCCUUCCGAAAGGGAGAUUAAUACCUCAUAACAUUGCAGUUUCGCAUGGAACAGCAAUUAAAGGAGUAAUCCGCUAUGAGAUGGGCCCGCGGCGCAUUAGCUAGUUGGUGAGGUAACGGCUCACCAAGGCGACGAUGCGUAGCCGACCUGAGAGGGUGAUCGGCCACAUUGGGACUGAGACACGGCCCAGACUCCUACGGGAGGCAGCAGUGGGGAAUAUUGCACAAUGGGGGAAACCCUGAUGCAAGCAACGCCGCGUGAGUGAUGACGGCCUUCGGGUUGUAAAGCUCUGUCUUCAGGGACGAUAAUGACGGUACCUGAGGAGGAAGCCACGGCUAACUACGUGCCAGCCGCUGC
rnacentral:rRNA from 1 species